rnacentral:lncRNA from 1 species
GGAUGAGCAGAGAAGCAAUCCCUGCCACUUCUCCCCACUCGAAAAGCAACCCCUCAAAAGCAACCAGAAUGCAAGGAGGCCAACCCUUCCAGCUUUGCUUUAUUUUUAACUGAAGCAACCACAAAGGCUCUGAUUUUUAUCAGACCAGCAGCACAGUUUUUGUAAUAUAGUUCAUUCACCAUAGCAAGCAGCUAUUUAGUCUAUAUCAGGAAAUAAAUAUAGUACAACUGCAUUCUUCCACUGUGGGGGCAAUAGCAAGUUCAUUGGAAAGCAGAUUUUACUGAAGCAGAACAGGUGGGGGUGUUAAACUUUUUCUCAUACUGUUUUUCAAUCACAUACACACCAAUUAAUUCCACUGUGUUUUUCUGCUGCAGGGCUAAUAGUCGCUUUGUGGGAGGGCUCAACCUCUCCCUCACCCCUCCAGCACCACUAGUCCAAACAAAUGUGAAGCUCCCACAGCUGCAUUAAAGGGUAAAAAAGGUGGGAGAUCCAAUCACAUCAGUUUCAGUUCCAAUGUGCCCUUUUACUCAACUCAUUAAAGGGACUCACCCAUGUCCUCUUAUGCUGAGGUUAAAGCAGGGGUAGGCAACCUAAGGUCCGGGGGCUGGAUCCGGCCCAAUCACCUUCUCAAUCUGGCCCGCGGAUGGUCCGGGAAUCAGCAUGUUUUUACGUGAGUAGAAUGUGUCAUUUUAUUUAAAAUGCAUCUCUGGGUUAUUUGUGGGCAUAGGAAUUUGUUCUUUUUUUCAAAAUAUAGUCCGGCCCCCCACAUGGUCUGAGGGAUGGUGGACCUGGCCUUGUUAAAUCAAAGACUGGAGUUCUGGGGAACUCAAAAGCUUUCCACAAUUUUGAAUCACUUUGCUUGGUUCUAAUAAAGGUUUUGCCCAGCUGGGUUAUGAAAUGCUUUCUUAUGGUCACUGAAGGCAAAUGCUUCUCCUUUGACACCUCCUUUGACAGCUGGUCAGCCCUUGCUAGGUCAAAACGCAAAGCAGCUCAGAUGUAUUGCAACCUGUGGAAACUUUACCAAAAUGCCAGCAGAUAACUCGGGCUGAAGCUCUUGCAAGUAGACACUGCAAAAUGUAAGAUUUGCACUAUGAUUAGAAAACUCCUCCCUUGCCAGCGACCUAAAUGAAAGAGGAGCAUUUGUACAAAUAACAUCUGUCCACGAGGUGGUGCUAAACUGCCACAAGUGGCAAGGCUGGGCAUGAAUCAUUUUCUCAUAUAAAAAAGAGGACAAUGCCAUUUUGGCUAUUACUGCCAACCCACACAGUACAACCUGGGGUGUGGGUGGGUGGGUGUAAGGGCAGUUACUUAGGAAACAAUGAAUCUGACAACUGGUCUCUAGUUGUUUGCCAGAUAUGGCCCAAAAUUAUUUAGAAACUUCUUCAAAACCAUAGUGUGUCUUUUAAAAAGUACUACAACGGCAGAAAAGAAGCUUUGGGAGCUGCAGUUGGGAUCAAAAGAGCAGGCAGAGAACACUGGAACUGGCAGGACCAGUGAGGUCGGAGGUGGCCAAUGCAAAUAUUUAGCACAAAGCAUCUUCCUUUGGUUCAGGAGUCCCUGUUGUCACAGUUGCUUCUCUGCUGGAAGAAAGGUUGUGUGGCCUCCGUUCUCUCCUUACAGUCCUCCUUUAUGGAGAACAGCCAACAUUGCAGUUCACACCAGUUUUAUCACAGUUCAGAGCUGCUGUCACAAUUUCUAGUGUGGGUUCAUACCACAAUAAGUACUCAGCAGUAAACCCGAUUGCAUUCCCUGGGCAUUGCUCCUUAGUAAGUGUAGCUAGCCUUUAAUGUGCUUCACAGGACUAUUCACAAAGGACUCCAAAAAAAUUCCAGACCUAUGCAAAACUAUUGUCUCCCCCCCACCCAACUUAUCCUCUUCUCUGUCUUCUUUCCAGGAUGUGGAAUAAAAUAGAGGAAUAUUAAGUGGACCAGCAGCCUGUUCUCAGUGCCUCCCCCCUCUAACAAGGGAACUUGCCAGAAGUCAAACCAAGGUGGCAGCAGCCAGAACAGGGUCCGGGGUCAACAGCUCUUAGGGCCUGGCUGUUGCUACUCACAGCACAGAUUCAUGAUUCAGAAAUAUCUACCAGGCCAAGGGUGGUAUAUAGAUUUGAUAAAUAAAAUAAAUAAAUGGAAUGGCUUGGCCAUAGCAAUAUUUUGGGGUUGGGGUUGGCUGAGCAGUGUGUAGAACUGGUCAGCCACAGGUUGACAGGAAUGACUCCAGGAGCCCCUCUAAGUUUAAACAGAAGUACAAUGGGG